rnacentral:rRNA from 1 species
GACGAACGCUGGCGGCGUGCCUAAUACAUGCAAGUCGAGCGCAGGAAACUGACGGAACUCUUCGGAGGGAAGGCAGUGGAAUGAGCGGCGGACGGGUAAGUAACACGUAAGGAACCUGCCUCAAGGAUUGGGAUAACUCCGAGAAAUCGGAGCUAAUACCGGAUAGUUCAACGGACCGCAUGGUCCGCUGAUGAAAGGCGCUCCGGCGUCACCUUGAGAUGGCCUUGCGGUGCAUUAGCUAGUUGGUGGGGUAAUGGCCCACCAAGGCGACGAUGCAUAGCCGACCUGAGAGGGUGAUCGGCCACACUGGGACUGAGACACGGCCCAGACUCCUACGGGAGGCAGCAGUAGGGAAUCUUCCACAAUGGACGAAAGUCUGAUGGAGCAACGCCGCGUGAGUGAUGAAGGUUUUCGGAUCGUAAAACUCUGUUGUAAGGGAAGAACACGUACGAGAGGGAAUGCUCGUACCUUGACGGUACCUUACGAGAAAGCCACGGCUAACUACGUGCCAGCCGCCGCUGUAAUAC